CAGCAGCCGCGGGAAUACGGAGGGUGCAAGCGUUGUCCGGAUUUAUUGGGUUUAAAGGGUGCGUAGGCGGCUAUUUAAGUCAGCGGUGAAAGACUCCGGCUCAACCGGAGCAGUGCCAUUGAUACUGGAUAGCUUGAGUGUUGGAGGGGUACAUGGAAUUGAUGGUGUAGCGGUGAAAUGCAUAGAUACCAUCAGGAACACCGAUAGCGAAGGCAUUGUACUGGCCAACAACUGACGCUGAGGCACGAAAGCAUGGGGAGCGAACAGGAUUAGAUACCCCGGUAGUCCCUGUCUCUUAUAA
rnacentral:rRNA from 1 species